rnacentral:rRNA from 1 species
UACGGAGGGCGCAAGCGUUACUCGGAAUUACUGGGCGUAAAGCGUGCGCAGGCGGUUUGUUAAGUCCGCUGUGAAAUCCCCGAGCUCAACUUGGGAAUUGCAGUGGAUACUGGCAAGCUGGAGUAUGGUAGAGGAAGGUGGAAUUCCCGGUGUAGCAGUGAAAUGCGUAGAGAUCGGGAGGAACACCAGUGGCGAAGGCGGCCUUCUGGACCAAUACUGACGCUCAUGCACGAAAGCGUGGGGAGCAAACAGG